rnacentral:misc_RNA from 1 species
UCUGGCCGAUUCAAAAACCUGCGAACCCGCGGAGUGUAAAGGUGGAGUUGGAGAGACUGGGUAUAUUUUUGCUAGAAAUCGGCCUGAAAAACGAUUAAAGAUGAGUAAUCAGAAGGAAGAACCGAAGAAGGAGAUACCCGAAGUGAUCUAUGACUCGACGACGGGAAGAAAGUACCAGAGAGGAAAGUUUUUGGGGAAAGGAGGCUUUGCAAGAUGCUACGAACUGACAGACAUGAAAACCAAAGAGAUAUUUGCUGGAAAGAUUGUAGCAAAGUCUCUCCUCGUCAAGCAGCAUCAGAAGGAGAAAAUGUCUCAGGAGAUUUCUAUCCACCGUAGCUUAAAGGAUAGACAUAUUGUUGGAUUUCAUGGAUUCUUUGAGGAUUCAGAUAAUGUUUACAUUAUUCUUGAACUGUGCAGGAGAAGGUCCUUGAUGGAAUUGCACAAGCGUCGUAAAGCUGUCACAGAACCAGAGACAAGGUACUUUCUGAAGCAGCUGUUGUUGGGUGUUAAACAUCUCCAUGAUCGCAAAGUGAUUCACAGAGAUCUAAAGCUCGGAAAUCUAUUUCUUAAUGAUGAAAUGGAACUGAAGAUUGGUGAUUUUGGUCUAGCUACCAGGGUGGAUUAUGAGGGAGAAAGAAAGAGAACACUCUGUGGUACUCCUAAUUAUAUUGCUCCAGAAAUUCUUUGCAAGAAGGGCCAUAGUUACGAAGUUGAUGUGUGGUCUUUAGGUUGUAUUUUAUAUACUUUGCUAGUAGGUAAACCUCCAUUUGAAACUCAAACCCUAAAGGACACAUAUAUGAGGAUCAAGAAAAAUGAAUAUCACAUCCCAUCUCGCAUUGGUCCACUAGCCCGGUCCCUCAUCCAAAGAUUGCUGCAGGGGGAUCCCACACGUAGACCUAAUGUUGAUAGUAUCCUAGCUGAUGAUUUUAUGACUAUGGGAUAUAUCCCAACUCGCCUUCCCACAUCUUGCCUCACGAUGGCUCCUAGAUUUGACUCAAGAUGUUCCAUUGUAGCUACUAGGAAACCUCUUCUGGAAAUUAACACCAAAGAUGGAUCUCCAAUCAAGGUCGGACUUAAAGAUGGAGUUAAGAAGACUGAAGUUGGUACAGGAAGGGGCACUGCAUCUGCACCUAUCGGGAGCACCGCUCAGCAGCAGGCAGUGGCACAACAAGCAGCCUCAGCACAACACAAAUCGGAUGAGCCAACUGACUGUUACCUCAAGGAAUUGUACGCACAAAUUACGUCAGUAGUUGCUUCAAAGCCCGAUGAGAGGGAUAAUAUCAAUGAAGAUGAGAGCGAGGAUCCGGCUGCCGUGCCCAUGAUCUGGGUGAGCAAGUGGGUUGACUACAGCGAUAAAUAUGGUCUUGGAUACCAGUUGUGUGAUGACUCCAUUGGUGUGCUCUUCAAUGAUUUCACCAAACUUUUGUUGCUAGCUGAUGGAGAGAACAUUCAUUACAUUGAGCGUUCAAAUGCUGAACACUACCAUACACUGAAGAGCUACCCAGGAGCAUUAAACAAAAAGGUGACGCUGCUGCGCUACUUCCGUAACUACAUGAAUGAACACUUAUUGAAGGCAGCUGCCUCUAUGUGCCCAAGGGAGGGUGAUGAGCUUGCCCGAAUCCCCUCACUCAGGACCUACUUCCGGACACGAUCCGCCAUCAUUCUUCACUUGACUAAUGGAACACUUCAGAUCAACUUCUUUGAAGACCACACCAAGAUUAUUCUGUGUCCUUUGAUGGGUGCUGUCACAUACAUCGACGAAAAGAGGAAUUUCAAGACCUACAGGCUGGCCAGCCUUGAGAAGUAUGGAUGCCGACCUGACCUUGCGAACCGCAUGCGUUAUGCUCGCAACAUGAUUCAAAAGCUUAUGGUUACGAAAUCCUCCACGACCAAGUCCUCCACUGCUUCUUCCUCUGCUGCUGCCCAGCACACUCAGCCCACCACUGCUUAAAUAGUGCAACGAUAAAAGUUACUGUCCAAAGGUUGAAUAUUUAUUCACCAGUUUUCUAGUUAUCUAUUGUUUAAGCAUAUAUGUACUAGAUCUAAACUUGGUUAGAAUAGUUGACAAUUUUUAGCAUGUUACCUAAGUUGAAGAACAUAGAGCAUUUCUGUAUCUCUUCCUACCUGUGACUACAAGUGUCCAUGAAGUAUGCCACUGUGGCAGUGCUUUGGAGGUGCUGGAUAUAAAUAUCCAUUCAGGUGGAUUAACUUGUACCAAAGUGAUAAAUGUAUGUUAGGAUACAUCUUUGUAAUUAGCCUCAAAGGACUGACGGGAAAAGUCAGUUUAGGUCAGUUUAGUAAGUCCUGAUUUAUAUUUUCUGAUAAUUUUCAAGGAUACACACUAUUGCAUGAGUAAAGACUUAGGUUUUAUGAUGGUUAAAAUAAAACCUGAUAGAAUGAGGGGAUCGGAAGAGCGUCGUGAACGGGGGCGAGUUUGG